UACGGGGGGGGGCAAGCGUUGUUCGGAAUUACUGGGCGUAAAGGGCGCGUAGGCGGCCUGCUAAGUCGGAUGUGAAAUCCCUCGGCUCAACCGAGGAACUGCAUCCGAUACUGGCGGGCUUGAAUCCGGGAGAGGGAUGUGGAAUUCCAGGUGUAGCGGUGAAAUGCGUAGAUAUCUGGAGGAACACCGGUGGCGAAGGCGGCAUCCUGGACCGGUAUUGACGCUGAGGCGCGAAAGCGUGGGGAGCGAACGAGG
rnacentral:rRNA from 1 species